rnacentral:rRNA from 1 species
CACGUAGGGGGCAAGCGUUGUCCGGAUUUAUUGGGCGUAAAGAGCUCGUAGGCGGCUCAGUAAGUUGGGUGUGAAACCUCCAGGCUCAACCUGGAGACGCCACCUGAUACUGCUGUGGCUAGAGUCCGGUAGGGGAGCGUGGAAUUCCUGGUGUAGCGGUGAAAUGCGCAGAUAUCAGGAGGAACACCAGCGGCGAAGGCGGCGCUCUGGGCCGGAACUGACGCUGAGGAGCGAAAGCGUGGGUAGCAAACAGG